rnacentral:rRNA from 1 species
GACGUAGGGGGCCAGCGUUGUUCGGAAUUACUGGGUGUAAAGGGUUCGUAGGCGGUGUGGCAAGUCGGGAGUGAAAUUUCUGGGCUCAACUCAGAGACUGCUUCCGAAACUGCUGUGCUGGAGUGUGGGAGAGGCGCGUGGAAUUGCAGGUGUAGCGGUGAAAUGCGUAGAUAUCUGCAGGAACACCCGUGGCGAAAGCGGCGCGCUGGACCACUACUGACGCUGAGGCGCGAAAGCGUGGGGAGCAAACGGG